rnacentral:rRNA from 1 species
AGUGGACGCUGGCGGUAGGCCUAACACAUGCAAGUCGAACGGCAGCACAGUAAGAGCUUGCUCUUACGGGUGGCGAGUGGCGGACGGGUGAGGAAUACAUCGGAAUCUACUUUUUCGUGGGGAAUAACGUAGGGAAACUUACGCUAAUACCGCAUACGACCUACGGGUGAAAGCAGGGGAUCUUCGGACCUUGCGCGAUUGAAUGAGCCGAUGUCGGAUUAGCUAGUUGGCGGGGUAAAGGCCCACCAAGGCGACGAUCCGUAGCUGGUCUGAGAGGAUGAUCAGCCACACUGGAACUGAGACACGGUCCAGACUCCUACGGGAGGCAGCAGUGGGGAAUAUUGGACAAUGGGCGCAAGCCUGAUCCAGCCAUACCGCGUGGGUGAAGAAGGCCUUCGGGUUGUAAAGCCCUUUUGUUGGGAAAGAAAAGCAGCAGGUUAAUACCCCGCUGUUCUGACGGUACCCAAAGAAUAAGCACCGGCUAACUUCGUG